AAAGAUUAAGCCAUGCAUGUCUAAGUAUAAGCAAUUUGUACUGUGAAACUGCGAAUGGCUCAUUAAAUCAGUUAUCGUUUAUUUGAUAGUACCUUACUACAUGGAUAUCUGUGGUAAUUCUAGAGCUAAUACAUGCUAAAAACCUCGACUUCGGAAGGGGUGUAUUUAUUAGAUAAAAAACCAAUGCCCUUCGGGGCUCCUUGGUGAAUCAUAAUAACUUAGCGAAUCGCAUGGCCUUGCGCCGGCGAUGGUUCAUUCAAAUUUCUGCCCUAUCAACUUUCGAUGGUAGGAUAGUGGCCUACCAUGGUGGCAACGGGUAACGGGGAAU
rnacentral:rRNA from 1 species